rnacentral:lncRNA from 1 species
AUUUUACAGAGAGCCGACAAGGAAUUCCAUUAAUAACUGGCCGUUUUGAUCCUUUGGAACAACUCGAUGAAUUUAGUAGAUCGUUUUAGGAGGCCCUAAUGACUAUAGAUCGAACCUAUCCAAUUUUUACAGUACGAUGGUUGGCUGUUCACGGCCUAGCUGUACCUACCGUCUUUUUUUUGGGAUCAAUAUCAGCAAUGCAGUUCAUCCAACGAUAAACUUAAUCCGAAUUAUAGAGCUACGACACAAUCAAACCCGAACGAACAAAAUGUUGAAUUGAAUCGUACCAGUCUCUACUGGGGGUUAUUACUCAUUUUUGUACUUGCUGUUUUAUUUUCCAAUUAUUUCUUCAAUUAAGAAAACGAAAGAGAAUAAAUAAGAUUCUCUUAGCUCAUUCGGAAGGAUCUCAUAAUUUAAUUAUCCAUGACUGUUUAUGUCUCUAGCAUGACCACUUGAUGAAAUCUGGAGGGAAGUGGGGUAAAUGGCCGAUACUACUGGAAGGAUUCCUCUUUGGAUAAUAGGUACUGUAGCUGGUAUUCUUGUAAUCGGUUUAAUAGGUAUUUUCUUUUAUGGUUCAUAUUCCGGAUUGGGUUCAUCCCUGUAGUAAUCGACUGAAUUGAGUUGUCAACAUGAAAGCGUAAGAACUUAACGGGAUUCCCUUCUUUGUUUGUUUGAUUCGAAGGGGAAGGGCCCGUUGAGUUCUUAAGAAUCAUAAUAUUUUUUUCGUCUAAAUGCUAAAACGGAUUUCUUUUUCUUUUCAAAAACUCCGUUUUUCUCAUUUUUCUGAGCAUGUUUUUGAAAAAUUCACUUCAUUGAGUUAGUCAGACCACCUCUUCUUUUUAUAUGAUAGUAUCUAUCGGUACUUUCAAAGUUGGAAGAAAGAAGGAAGAACUCAAUUUCUUGGCUGCUAUCAUAUAUUAGAUAGCGUGCAAAUCCUUUCUAUACUAAUCUAAUGUAGAACCUUACUCUCUAUAUUACAUUACUCUAUUGAUUUUUUAUUGUUUUCCUAUUUCAUCAUCAAAUUUUUUAUAAGAUAAGUUGAUUGAAGAAGUUUUAUUUAAUUAAUAAAAUUUCCUCUCUUUUUUGUUUUGUUUGUCCACCAAUUCAUAUAUUAUAUGUAAGGGGGUAGGUGUAGGGUUUCUGAUACAUCUGGAAAAAUUGAAACCAAGACUAGGAAUUUUUAACAAACAGGAUCAAGAAUCAUUACUCUUUCGUUUCGACACAAGAAAAAAGGAUUUUUCUACACCCCUUUCUUGUGUCGAAGACUAGGAAGACAAAUAAUCCCUCCUAGAAUUUUUUCUUCCCCGCAUUUAUCCCCCGCUUCCUUAUGUCUAGUAUUUAGACAAAUUUGACUUUCUUUCUAUUUAGAAUAGAAAACUAUUGAUACGUUUUAUGGCAGUGAAAUCUGGCAAUAGUAACAUAGUUACACUACUCCAAUUAAAAAAAACUAAAUCAAAAUAAAUGAAAGCCAAAUACUCUUCUUCAAAAUCUACAUACUAUGUGGUACAAGGGAUUCCCAGCAUCUCGUAGAAAAAGAGUAUGUAAUGUAGAUUUUGAAGAAGAGUAUAAAUAAGACAAAGGAGUUUUCAUAAUUUCAUUUUUUUGAUCAUAAAUAAUCGCCAACAAGAAUUUGGUUCUUUUUACGUACUUGAUAUCGAUAAAUCUGCGAAUCUAGAAAUUCAUUUCGGCCAAUUGAACCUUCUCGAACUGUUUCUUUUUAAGAACCAAAAAGAUUUGUGCCAAAAUAACAGAUGCCAAGAAGAACAAAAGUCCUUGGACACGUAAUGGAUCUUGAAGUACUAUUUCUGCAUCUCCCUGACCAAAUCCGCCUACAUUAGGAUUACUCGUUAAUGGUUGAUCAAAUUUGAUAGAUUCGCCCUCGGAAACAAGAAGUUCUGGUCCGGGAGGGAUAAUAUCAACCACUUGACGUCCCUCCGACGCAUCCGUUAUGGUUAUCUCAUACCCCCCUUUUUCUUUUCGUAUGAUUUUGCUUACUAUACCUGCUGCUGUAGCAUUAUAAACUGUAUUGUUACUCUUGUUGCCGUCGGGAUAAAUCUGACCCCUUCCCCUGUUCCCGCCUACGUAUAUAGGAUAUUUUAAGAAGUGAACAUCCUUCUUAGUAGCAGGGUCCGGGGAAAGAAUAGGGAAGGUUAUUUCACUAUAUUUUUUACCAGGGACAGGGCCUACCACAAGAAUAUUUGUUUUAUUGGGGCGAUAGCUCUGAAAAGACAAAUUGCCAAUCUUUUCUUUCAUCUCAGGAGAAAUACGAUCGGGAGGAGCUAAUUCAAACCCCUCCGGUAAAAUAAGAACAGCUCCGACGUUCAACCCCCCUUUUUUACCAUUAGCAAGAACCUGUUUCAGUUGCAUAUCAUAAGGAAUUCGAACAACUGCUUCAAAUACAGUAUCAGGAAGUACCGCUUGUGGAACCUCAAUUUCCACGGGCUUAUUAGCUAAAUGGCAAUUGGCACAUACAAUACGCCCAGUCGCUUCUCGUGGAUUUUCAUAACCCUGCUGUGCAAAAAUGGGAUAUGCACUUGAAAUGGACGUCCGAGUUAAGAUAUAUAUCAUGAGCGAUACGGAAAUAGAUCGAGUAAUCUGUUUCUUUAGCCAAGAAAAAGCAUUUCUAGUUUGCAUGGUCCAAUCAUUGAUCGCGAAAAUUUCUACAAUAAAUUGGGUAGGUCGCUAGUAUAGUUCCCUAGCCACGAUUCUGCUAUUUGCUGGAAUAAUCUAGGAUGAAUCUUCCCGAUGGUUAGAAAUAGGAAGAGUAAAUAUGAUUUUCAAUACUUUGCUUAUGUACAACUACAAAGUACUAAGCAUUCUAAUUGGAUUAGAUUAAUAUCAAUGGAUCCUUUAUCAUUCAGUUAUUGAAUCAUAAAGCAGUAAAAUUGACGGAGACAGACUAGUUAAAUAACGGAAAAGCCAAUAUUUAAAACAUGUAUCAAAAAUUACUGGAAGGAUGCAAACAAGAAUAGUUAUAGUUUGCUCAUUCGCAACAACUCCAACCUCGUUAUAGAUAGAGCGUAUAACGAAUUCCCAACCUGGGGGUGAAUGAUAUCCGAGAAAAAACUCACUUACUAGAAGAAUACACAAAGCUUUUGCUGUGUCACUUAAGUUAUAUAGGAAUUCCUGAGCCCAAGAGUUAAGAAUAACAAGUUUUUCCUUACCCAAAAUUGAAUACCCGCUUAGAAUACCAAACCAGAUUAUAUUUGUUGAGAAGUGCAAAAUCGUAUCCAUACGAUUCUCAUUUUGUAUCGUGAUUAAUUGGAUCGUUUCUUUAUGGAUUCCUAUCCCAAACUCUUCGAGAUGUGUUUCCGAGUAUUCCUUGAUCAUUUCGUCCAAGAAGAGGAGUUCCUCUAAUUCUCUGAAUUUUUCUAGAAGACUCUUUUCUUGAAUAUUAUUCAAGACAAUUUGGGAUUGCCCAGUAUUCCACCAAUUAGUAACCCAAGAUUCCAGCCAUUUAUUAACUGAGAAAGAAAUCCACCAGGGCAAAAAUACUAUAGAUGCAAGAUAGAAAAGAGGAGUGAAUGCUUUCUUUUUUGCCAUUUUUUCGUCUGUAAAUUGUUAAUCAACCCAUUCGUACACUCUAUGCGAUCGAAUAUUUCUUACACACAUGAGUUUUAUACAAGGUAUCGAACUUAUGAAUCUAUUUUCUUUGUGAUUUUGUGGUUAGUCUUUGAAUCUAGAAAGAAUACAGAAAUAGGCUAAGAAUUCACUUCGAAUGAAGAAAUUGAGAAUAUUGUUUCCUGAUAUCUCAAUUGGUCAAAUUAAAAAUUAAGUGUAUCCUUUCGAUGAAUGACCGAAAGAACCACUUUAAGUAAUGAAUAUUAUUCAGAUUUUGAGACGAAAGAACUCCUUUGCUAUCAAAAUAUCCAAUAUUUCGAAAAAAUUUCAUUGAUUACCCAUAGUCAGGAAUAGAAUAAUUGAGGGAAAGAUAUUAGGAUGAUAAAAAAAAAAUGACUAGCAAAGGAUAAAUUGGCUAGUUCUCAGUAUUUAAUUAAGAAAUCCAAUUGUUGGUCAUUAAAGAAUACAAAAGAAAGAAUUUCAAAUUUACAAGAUACGAUCUAUCUGGAUCUAAAGUGUCAAUUCCAACAAAUAUUGAACUAAAAAAAAUUCUUGCUUUCGAAAUGGUUUGCCGUCUGAGAUGAAUCUAUUAUUUCGAUUUGUUAUUUGUUAUUGAAUUGCGUGCACAUAAAGACCAUAAAAAGAGUUUCGUUUUAUGGUUCUUUCAUAUACGUUUUCUUUAAUUGAAUGAACGUUCUGAUUCUCAAUUUAUCAAAAUACUUCAAUUGGUACACGCAAGAAAUAGGCUAAUUCAGCAGCCUUUUGUUCAAUUUCUCGUGGAGUCAAAUUCUCAUCAGUACGGGUCAAGGGAAUGGACCCCUGGCCUCGGAUGUCCAUAUAAAGAACACGACGAGCAUAAAUACCCUCUUUAACUUCUAUUCUAACGGACUGAAUAUCUUUUAUAAGGAAUCGGAGGAAUAUGCGACGAUUUUUUCCCGGAAAUCCCCAACGAAAGAUACAGACUAUUCCCUCCUUUCUAUCGAAUCGAUCAUAACCACUACCUACAUUCCAGGAAAUUGUGCACCACAAAUAAGAGCUAAUAAAGAGACCCGCAAUUCCGUAGAAAGACAUCACGAUUCCUUGUGGAAAAAAAAUGAUUUGCUGAGGCGGAAAAAAAGAUAGCAAAUUUCUACCAAGAUAACUGGAAGUUCCAACUAAUAAGAAGCCUAAUGAACCUAAAAAAAGGAUCAAGGCCCAGCAGAAAUUACUUAUUUUUCGAGACCCCGUUAUAAGUUCUAUCCAUAUAUCGUCUGAUCGCCAAGUCAUACUUUACUCGAUUGCAUUUUAUUGGAAUUGAGAUAAUACCCCAGAAAAAUUUGACUUUACUUUUUUGUUUCCGAAGUAACUCUCAUCAACUAGCACUAGUUUGAGGUGAACUAGCACUAGUUUGAUGUCAACCUUUAGGAGUAAUUCAUCAAAUUGGUUAAAUCUAAAAUAAUAACAUACUCUUUAUUUAAUACGAUCCCACUAUACAUAUCGAUAUACAUAUAGAUUCACCGACUACAUUUCAGCCAUCCAGAGAUCCUGAUCUAUUUGAAAAUUGCUAGAAUUGAUAUAUCCAUAUAUCAUGUUUCUGCGGGCAUAAGAGUUUUUUCCUUUAUGUUCGGUGGAAAUCACAUGUUAUACUAUACUCCAAUAAAUAGAUAUCCGUGUUAUGAUACAAGUCCACGUUUUCAAAAAAAAAAAUGGAUGAGAUUGGGUCCCAGCGGAUCUAAACAAUCUUGUUUUUUUGAACAUGAAGAAAUAAAGAAGCCAUUGCAAUUGCCGGAAAGACUAGGCCUACUAACGGCACAAAAAUAGAUGGAAGGUUCAAAUUUGUCAUAGAAGGGGUACCUCGAUUUACUAUUUGUAUCUGUUAUUAUGUUAUUAUAUAAAUAAAGAUAUCUUGUAAUAAUUAUAAUUAAAUUAAGAAUUUGAAUUCUAAUUAGAUAUUAGAUAAUAUUUAUUAUUAAUAGAAUUUGAAGAAUUUGAAAUUCUUAGUAUAGAUCGAAGUAUCGAUAUAUCUAAAUCUAACUGAGUACGUAUAAUAAGAAUAAGUGCAAAGAAUGUAGAACUGUAGAACUAAAUAAAUGGACUUAUUCAUCUCCUCCAUGAGAAAGAUAUGUAUGAUAAUAAACUUUAUUAUUUUUCUUCAUUUCUUUGUCUUUUGUUCUUGUCUUCUACUUUUCUAAAAAUAGAUAAAGAGUUUUUUACAGAUUAUCGACGGAUUCAUUCGAAUCCGACCCAACAUGGAUUUUUAGCUAAAAUGGUUUUUCGGUAGAUAGAGAAAGAUACAAAACUCUAUUAUCUCUAUUGAAAUUUCAAAUUAUAUACCUAAGACAAGACCAAAUUCGUUUUAUUUUACUAAUUUCACGAAAGGAAGAACUCACUCUUGGUGAUAAAGGUUUCUUGAUUCGUAAUCAGGAAUAUAGGUCAAAAAAAGAGUUAUCCUCAACUUUCGUUUUAAUUCUUUCUACAAUUCGAUCUUCUAUCACCAAAGAAAAGGCCAUUAUUAUCUUAUUUACUUUGAUUCCGAUAAACUAACUACUUUUUGCUACAAACACAAAAAAAAUAAUUGAACUUAGUGCUCUACUUGAUUUUGCUUGACUUUUGAUUCAAAGGAAAAAAGGCGUGGAGCUUAAAUAACUCACUCAGAACGCUUUUUAAAAGAUUACGUGGUACAAUUAGGUCGAAUAAACCCUUCUGGAAUAAGUAUUCAGCUGCUUGUGAACCUUCGGGUACUGUUUUAUUCAAUGUUUGUUCAAUUACUCUUUUACCUGCAAAUGCAAUGUAGGCAUUGGGUUCGGCAAUAAUGAUAUCCCCCAACAUACCAAAACUAGCUGUCACUCCACCAGUUGUCGGAGAUGUAAGGAUUGAUACAUAAAAUAAUUUUUUAUUUAAUUGAUAAUCAUAUAAAGCAGACGAUAUUUUAGCCAUUUGCAUCAAGCUCAAACUUCCUUCCUGCAUGCGCGCCCCCCCAGAAGCACACACUAUCAUAAGAGGUAAAUUUUGAUUGGCAGCGUGUUCAAUCAAACGGGUGAUUUUCUCUCCGACUACGGAUCCCAUACUACCCCCCAUAAACUGAAAAUCCAUAACCCCAAUUGCUACGGGAAUGCCGUUUAGUUGGCCUAUGCCUGUUUGAACAGCCUCGGUUAAUCCUGUCUUUCUUUGAUAAGAAUCAAUACGGUCCUUAUAAGGCUCCUCCUCCGAAUGAAAUUCAAUGGGAUCCAGCGAGACCAUGUCUUCAUCCAUAGGAUCCCAAGUACCCGGAUCGAUCAAAAGUUCAAUUCUAUCCGAACUACUCAUUUUCAAAUGAUAUCCACAUUGUUCACAAAUAUUCAUUUUUGAUUUCAAAAAUUUCUUAUAAUUUAAUCCAUAACAAUUUUCGCAUUGAACCCACAAAUGCUUGUAUUUUUGAGUUACCUCGAGAUCAUUAGAACUUUCUCUUAUAGUUAAAUCACUGUCCUUUGUGCGAGUUCGUCUACUGGAACCCUCGUUUUCACUACUAUUUAGACUUUGACCACUACAAAUGGCCCUAUAAAUGUAACUGUCACCGUUACUCUCACUACCACUUAUAAUGGAAGUAUCUAUACAGAUUUGAGACUGAAGAUAAUUAUCAAUGCAACUAUUAAUGUGAUUAUUCCAACUAUAUUGAGUAUCAUACAUGUAAGAAUUAUAGUAGGGAUCUUCGCCCCUAAAUCCAUUAUUCAGAUAACUCGAGUUUCGAUAACUAUAAAAAGAACUUUCUAGUUCACUCAGAAAAGAAUGAUCGUUGUCAACCUCAAAAAUAUGAUUUUCAAUAUCAAAAUAGAUGGAAUAACUGUCCCCAUUCCUAUCACUAACUAAAAAAGUGUCAUUAGAGAUGAAAUUCCAAAUGUCUUUAACGCCGAAUAAAUAAUCAACAUUACUGCAACUAUGAAUGUUUUUCACUUUUAGAUUUGGAUCUUCACUGGUAUUUUCAAUAGGACCAAGACUGCCCAUUGAUUUAUUUAGCCCACACCUGCGUUCGAACUCCUUCUUAAACAACAUCGAAUUAAACCACCAUCUUUCCAUAGAGUUUUCUUGCCCCCUAUUUGCAUGAAAAUACAAUAGAUGAAUAGUCAUUCGCUAUAAAAUUCUUUAUUUGAAUAUCUUAUUUCCUAUCAGACUAAGCAUAGAAAUCCAAUCACUAGGAUUAUUAACUAAUACGGAUUGUGAGUAUUCAAAAAAAGUUCUGAAUCUGGGGGAACACUUCACUAUAUAUUAAUAUGUUGGAACCCCCUUUUAUUAUUAAAAAGAAUAUAAAAAUAAUAGAAUUUUUGAUAAAGGGCGGCUUCUCCUAUGUCGUGUCAAAUUCGCAUCGAAAAAAAGAGAUUUGUCCUCUCUUAUAAAUAUAAAGAAAUAAAAAAAAUUCGUAAAAUCUCGUCUAAUACUAAUAUCUAAUCACUAACUAAUCUAACAAUCUAAAAUCUAAUAAUAAGUAAUAAAUUAAGGUUCUAUUUCAACACGGAACAAAGGGGACAAUAUACAGGAUGGGUAGAAAGAGUUGGAAUACUUGGCUUGAUUCAGGGAAACUACAAACUACAGGAUAGAAAAGAAUAUACCAAUCCUAAGGAUCCGUAGGAUUAAUUGUGGAUCCAAGACAAUAAUAGAAAGAUUUGAGUCUUAGAUUUUGAUUUAGUUUUCUAGAUUUUGUAUUUCAAAUCUUGAUCAAAAUAUAUGCAAUAGAAUCUUAGUUGUAUUCGGCCCAAUCUUUUACUAAAAGGAUUGAGCCGAAUUAAAUUGUAAUGUAAUUCAAUUAAGAGAACGAAGGAUAAUUACUUGAGUUCUUUCUCCUUAUCCUUCUUUAUUUCCUGCUAAUUUAUCUGCUAAUGUCUACUGUUUUUACUUAUCCAAAACGUCCACUGCUGCAAAAUUAAAUACGAUCUCUUUCCAUACCUCACAAGCAGCAGCUAGUUCCGGGCUCCAUUUGCAAGCCUCGCGAAUAAUCUCAUUACCUUCCCGAGCAAGAUCACGUCCUUCAUUACGAGCUUUUACACAUGCUUCUAGAGCUACUCGAUUAGCUACGGCACCUGGCGCAUUACCCCAAGGAUGUCCUAAAGUUCCUCCACCGAACUGUAGUACGGAAUCAUCCCCAAAGAUCUCGGUCAGAGCAGGCAUAUGCCAAACGUGAAUACCUCCUGAAGCCACAGGUAGAACACCUGGUAAAGAGACCCAAUCUUGAGUGAAAUAAAUACCGCGACUUCUAUCUUGUUCAACAAAAUCAUCACGCAGUAAAUCAACAAAGCCCAAAGUUAUGUCUCUUUCACCUUCAAGUUUACCUACUACGGUACCAGAGUGAAUAUGAUCUCCACCAGACAUACGUAACGCUUUUGCUAAUACCCGGAAGUGGAUACCAUGAUUCUUCUGUCUAUCAAUAACCGCAUGCAUUGCACGGUGGAUGUGAAGAAGUAGACCAUUAUCUCGGCAAUAAUGAGCCAAGGUAGUAUUUGCGGUAAAUCCCCCCGUUAAGUAGUCAUGCAUUACGAUCGGAACGCCCAAUUCUCUAGCAAAUACAGCUCUUUUGAUCAUUUCUUCGCAUGUACCUGCAGUAGCAUUCAAGUAAUGCCCUUUGAUUUCACCUGUUUCAGUCUGUGCUUUAAAAAGUGCUUCGGCACAAAAUAAGAAACGAUCUCUCCAACGCAUAAAUGGUUGUGAGUUCACGUUCUCAUCAUCUUUGGUAAAAUCAAGUCCACCGCGAAGACAUUCAUAAACAGCUCUACCGUAGUUUUUUGCAGAUAACCCCAAUUUAGGUUUAAUAGUACAUCCCAACAGGGGACGACCAUACUUGUUCAAUUUAUCUCUUUCAACUUGGAUCCCAUGAGGCGGACCUUGGAAAGUUUUAACAUAAGCAGGAGGGAUUCGCAGAUCUUCCAGACGUAGAGCGCGCAGGGCUUUGAACCCAAAUACGUUACCUACAAUGGAAGUAAACAUAUUGGUAACGGAACCUUCUUCAAAAAGGUCUAAAGGGUAAGCUACAUAAGCAAUAUAUUGAUCUUUUUCUCCAACAACGCGCUCGAUGCGGUAGCAUCGCCCUUUGUAACGAUCAAGACUGGUAAGUCCAUCGGUCCAUACAGUUGUCCAUGUACCAGUAGAAGAUUCGGCAGCUACCGCGGCCCCUGCUUCUUCAGGUGGAACUCCAGGUUGAGGAGUUACUCGGAAUGCUGCUAAUAUAUCAGUAUCCUUGGUUUGGUACUCAGGAGUAUAAUAAGUCAAUUUGUACUCUUUAACACCAGCUUUGAAUCCAACACUUGCUUUAGUCUCUGUUUGUGGUGACAUAAAUCCCUCCCUAGAACUCAUGAAUUAAAAAUUAUCACAACAACAAGGUCUACUCGACAUGAAUUCCGCGUUAAUGAAACUUUUCACAGGAAUCUGUCACAAAAUUUCCAACUAAUACUAAUAUUAUCAAUUAAUCAGAAUGGUUGAUUAUUAGACCAUGGUAUUUGAUUUGCCAAAUACAUCAUUAUUGUAUACUCUUUCAUAUAUAUAGCGCAACCCAAUUUUGAUUUUUUAUCUUUUUUUUUUUUGAAAUGGAAAUACCUAGCUAACCUAAAUAAUAAGAACUUCCCCCUUGACAGUGGUAUAUGUUGUAUAUGUAAAUCCUAGAUGUGAAAAUAUAUGGAAUUCCUCUAUGAAUCUAUGAAAGGUAUAAAAAAGAAAGAAAAACGCAAAGAAAAGAAUAGGCUAGGCAUAAAUCGAUAUGCUGAAAUUGAAAUAAAAAAGAAAUAAGAAGAGGAGCCCAUUAGAUACAAAUAAUGAAUCGUAAUAGAAAUAGAAAAUAAAGUUCAGGUUCGAAUUCCAUAGAAUCGAUAAUAUGGAUGGGCUUGUCUAUAAUGGUAGACAAAUGAAAGACUUUCUCAAGAUUUUGAUUCAUCCACUUGAGAUUGUUAAAUGAAAAUAGGUUGGGUGAGCUGCCAAAUUAACUCAGUCUCAUUGAAUAAGUAAACAAUUGGAUUGGUUCAAUUGCAUGGUGCCAACGAAAUCGAGUGCUAAUUCCGAUUUUAUUGAAUUAACCGAUCGACGUGCUAGCGGACAUUUUUUUUGAAUUCGAUAAUUUUGGAAAAAACAUUUCGACAUAUUUAUUUUAUUAUUAUGAGAAUCAAUCCUACUACUUCUGGUUCUGGGGUUUCCACGCUUGAAAAAAAAAACCCGGGGCGUGUCGUCCAAAUCAUCGGUCCGGUACUAGAUGUAGCCUUUCCCCCGGGCAAGAUGCCAAAUAUUUAUAACGCUCUGGUAGUUCAAGGUCGAGAUAGUGUUGGUCAACCAAUUAAUGUGGCUUGUGAGGUACAGCAAUUAUUAGGAAAUAAUCGAGUUAGGGCUGUAGCUAUGAGUGCUACAGAAGGUCUAACGAGAGGAAUGGCAGUGAUUGACACAGGAGCUCCUAUAAGUGUUCCAGUUGGGGGAGCGACUCUGGGACGAAUUUUUAACGUGCUCGGAGAGCCUGUUGAUAAUUUAGGGCCUGUAGAUACUAGUACAACGUCUCCUAUUCAUAGAUCUGCGCCCGCCUUUAUACAGUUGGAUACAAAAUUAUCUAUUUUUGAAACAGGAAUUAAAGUAGUAGAUCUUUUAGCCCCUUAUCGCCGUGGAGGAAAAAUCGGACUAUUCGGGGGAGCUGGAGUGGGUAAAACAGUACUCAUUAUGGAAUUGAUUAACAAUAUUGCUAAAGCUCACGGGGGCGUAUCCGUAUUUGGCGGAGUGGGUGAACGUACUCGGGAAGGAAAUGAUCUUUACAUGGAAAUGAAAGAAUCUGGAGUGAUUAAUAAAGAAAAUAUUGCAGAAUCAAAAGUGGCCCUAGUUUACGGUCAGAUGAAUGAACCGCCGGGAGCUCGUAUGAGAGUUGGUUUGACUGCCCUAACUAUGGCGGAAUAUUUCCGAGAUGUUAAUGAGCAAGACGUACUUCUAUUUAUUGACAAUAUCUUCCGUUUCGUCCAAGCAGGAUCCGAAGUAUCGGCCUUAUUGGGUAGAAUGCCUUCCGCUGUGGGUUAUCAACCGACCCUAAGUACCGAAAUGGGUUCUUUACAAGAAAGAAUUACUUCUACCAAAGAAGGGUCCAUAACCUCUAUUCAAGCAGUUUAUGUACCCGCAGACGAUUUGACCGACCCUGCUCCUGCUACGACAUUUGCACAUUUAGAUGCUACUACCGUACUAUCAAGGGGAUUGGCUGCCAAAGGUAUUUAUCCAGCAGUAGAUCCUUUAGAUUCAACGUCAACCAUGCUUCAACCUCGGAUCGUUGGUGAGGAACAUUACGAAACCGCCCAAAGAGUUAAGCAAACUUUACAACGUUACAAAGAACUUCAGGACAUUAUAGCUAUCCUUGGAUUGGACGAAUUAUCCGAAGAGGAUCGUUUACUCGUAGCAAGAGCGCGAAAAAUUGAGCGUUUCUUAUCACAACCCUUUUUCGUAGCAGAAGUAUUUACCGGUUCUCCAGGGAAAUAUGUUGGUCUAGCAGAAACAAUUCGAGGAUUUCAAUUGAUCCUUUCCGGAGAAUUAGAUGGUCUUCCUGAACAGGCCUUUUAUUUGGUAGGUACUAUCGAUGAAGCUACCGCGAAGGCUAUGAACUUAGAAAUGGAGAGCAAUUUGAAGAAAUGACCUUAAAUCUUAGUGUACUGACCCCUAAUCGAAUUGUUUGGGAUUCAGAAGUGGAAGAAAUUGUUUUAUCUACUAAUAGUGGUCAAAUUGGCAUAUUACCAAAUCACGCCCCUAUUGCCACAGCUGUAGAUAUAGGGAUUUUGAGAAUACGCCUUAACGACCAAUGGUUAACGAUGGCUCUGAUGGGUGGUUUUGCUAGAAUAGGAAAUAAUGAGAUCACUGUUUUAGUAAAUGAUGCGGAGAAGGGUAGUGACAUUAAUCCACAAGAAGCUCAGCAAACUCUUGAAAUAGCGGAAGCUAAUGUGAAAAAGGCUGAAGGAAGGAGACAAAAAAUUGAGGCAAAUCUAGCUCUCCGACGAGCUAGAACACGGGUGGAGGCUAGCAAUCCGAUUUCAUAACUAGUUGGUACGUUCGAAUAAUAAAAAGAAGUUCUCUUUCUAAUCCUAUUUAGAUUCUGUCGGGUGAAUACAAUCAAAUACAAUCAAACAGAAUCCAAUUCUGAUGCAAAAAUUCAAAUUAAAAAAUGAAAUAGAAAAGAUACAAAAUAAAAAAAAAAAAAUAUCACUAAAGGUGGGUUGUAAACCUUAUUAGAUACCAUUGACUCUGGUAUCUAAUAAGUUUUACCUACUAUUGGAUUUGAACCAAUGACUCCCGCCGUAUGAAAGCAGUACUCUAACCACUGAGUUAAGUAGGUCAUUUAUCAUCCCAAAGAGAACCAAACGAAACCCAUCCUGUCGAUGGAUUAUAAAUAUCAUAUUACUUAUAAGCAAUACUAAUAUAAGGAAUACCACUCAAAGAGAUCAAAGAUUCUUGAUGUUGGAUCCUGGAAUAUUUCUCUUGACAAGAAUUUACCUACAUGAUAAAAUAUGUAUCACAAGCACUAAGGGCUAUAGCUCAGUUGGUAGAGCAACUCGUUUACACGCGCGCCAAUGUUUUUCAAGGGAGUUCAUCAUACAAUCAGAAAAAUUGAUCUUGUUGAGAAAUCGAUGUCUUACUCCAUAACUUUGAGGGAACCAUAGCCUGACAAAGGGUUCGGUCCAAUUUGGACGCCCAUUUAGGAGGUGCCAAACAGACCCCAUCAUUGAUUUGAGAUCUUGAUAAGGUGAAUACCCAGUCUAUUCAAUGCUAGGCCAUAAUGAGUAUAAGGACCUCAAAAAAAUCUCUUUUCGUCAUAUGAACUUUAAGGUGUAUGAAGUUUCAUAUUUGAUUUUUAAGCAGAACGAUAGAGACUUCAUUUAACUUAGGUUGAUCUAGGCCAGAGACAGACCUACGUCAAGAUAAUCCCACCUUUGAAACACUUUGGUAAUGCUCCCAAAUAAUGAAUCAGAGCACAUGGAGCCAUUUCCUUAUCUUUUUUUAUGUCAAGAAAAAAAAUGGCAGACUAACUGAUAUUUAGAUCAGUUAAUGAAGGAGCCCAAUGCAAAAAAAAUGCAUGUUGGGUCUUUGAAACAGUUCAGAUCAUUUUAAUAAUAAGAAGUUUGAUCUGUUUUACCGAGAAGGUCUACGGUUCGAGUCCGUAUAGCCCUAUAAAAAUGAAAAAUGCAAAAAAAAAAUUGUAUAAUUUGCAUUUCUUCAUUAUUAUUUCUUGCUUGUAACUAAAUGAAACCCAAUUAUUCCUAUAAGUUUACUCACGGCAAUCGUUUAAGCAGAUGAAAGAAAAAACGCAUAUCAAUGGAUCCAAUAGAUAUUGAUUUUUGCAAUUGCAGAUAAACAAACCAACCUUUCGUCAUUAAUCUUCGGAGGCGAAUUACAUAUUCAUAUCUACAAUAAAAGAAUUAGUGAGACUCCCUUUCUUUUGAUAUCCCCAAUCUUAUUGAAUUUUGGAAGUCAACUCAUUUCACGGGCCUGGUGAAAUGCAAAACUACGACGAGGAAUUCACAUGGAUUUAGGAAAGGCCUGCUGUAUUUGUGUACAAGCUAAGGUUUUUUGAAAAAUGAAUAUCUUUGGUCACUUUCAUUGUCAAAUAGGCUUUUCCUUCGUAUACCUUACUUACCUCGACCUAGCGAAGCACAACAAAAAAGGUAGUCUUCUUUUUCUGUAUUCAACCAAGAAAAACCCCUCCACCUGGAUUCGAAUCCUAAUACUAUUAUUAAAUAUUAAUUCAAUAAUAAUAAAAGGAAUAUACCAACACAAGAUCUUCUAAAUCUUGAGAUGGCAAUUCCUAUACAUUCUCUUCUAUUUGCUUACGUGUUCUAUUCUAAAUCACUAAGAAAAAAAUGAAAAUAAAGACCUCCUGAUUCUAUUUAUAGAAAUAAAUAGAAAUCUUUAAAGAAUUUAUAAUUAAAGAAGAAAUCAGAUAAGUAAUUAAUUUAGAAUUCCCCGUUUUUAGAGAAAAAAACAAGAGAAACAGGAGAAUUUGUCGAAGAGUAAUAUAUAGUUAGAAGGUUCUACUAACUAAAUAAAAUGGAAAUAAGUAUAAUGGAAAUAAAAUCGGAUUCCAGUCGAUGAAUCUUGCAAUGAGAUAUGCCCUACAAUAAACCAAUAAACAAAGCAAACUAGUCGGUUCGACCAAAAUGAAUUCUUGUUUUGACUAAAUAGUUAUGGAUGACUUGACAAUUCCAAUUCGAAUCGACCAAUUGAAUCCGGUAUAUUUUCCACGUUCAUAGGAGUGCGUUUAUGUUUCUGCUUUACGAAUAUGAUUUUUUUUGGGCAUUUCUAAUAAUAUCCAUCCUUGUUCCUAUUUUGGCAUUUUUCAUUUCCGGAGUGUUAGCCCCGAUUAGCAAAGGGCCAGAGAAACUUUCUACUUAUGAGUCGGGUAUAGAACCAAUGGGCGAUGCUUGGUUACAAUUUCGAAUCCGUUAUUAUAUGUUUGCUCUAGUUUUUGUUGUUUUUGAUGUUGAAACGGUUUUUCUUUAUCCAUGGGCAAUGAGUUUCGACGUAUUGGGUGUAUCUGUAUUUAUAGAAGCUUUCAUUUUCGUGCUUAUCUUAAUUAUUGGUUUAGUUUAUGCAUGGCGAAAGGGGGCAUUGGAAUGGUCUUAGCUCCUGAAUAUUCAGACAAUAAAAAGAAAAACGGAAAAAAUAAGAUUGAGACAGUUAUGAAUUCCAUUCAGUUUCCUUUACUUGAUCGAACAGCCCCAAAUUCAGUUAUUUCAACUACAUUAAAUGAUCUUUCAAAUUGGUCAAGACUCUCUAGUUUAUGGCCGCUUCUCUAUGGUACCAGUUGUUGCUUCAUUGAAUUUGCUUCACUAAUAGGCUCACGCUUCGACUUUGAUCGUUAUGGACUCGUACCAAGAUCGAGUCCUAGACAAUCGGAUCUAAUUUUAACAGCCGGAACAGUAACAAUGAAAAUGGCCCCCUCUUUAGUGAGAUUAUAUGAGCAAAUGCCCGAACCAAAAUAUGUUAUUGCUAUGGGAGCCUGUACAAUUACAGGCGGGAUGUUCAGUACCGAUUCUUAUAGUACUGUUCGGGGAGUCGAUAAGCUAAUUCCUGUAGAUGUAUAUUUGCCAGGUUGUCCACCUAAACCGGAAGCGGUUAUAGAUGCUAUAACAAAACUUCGUAAGAAAAUAUCUCGAGAACUCUAUGAAGAUCGAAUUAGGUCUCAACGAGCGAAUCGGUGUUUUACUACCAACCACAAGUUUCAUGUUCGACGCAGUAUUCAUACGGGAAAUUAUGAUCAAAGAGUUCUUUAUCAACCACCAUCUACUUCAGAGAUCCCUACGGAAAUCUUUUUCAAAUACAAAAAUUCAGUAUCUUCCGCCGAAUUAGUGAAUUAGACAGGAUUCCUUUGUCCAGAAUAAGAAGCGGUGGGUCAAUUUUCAUAAAUUUCAUCGUAAAUGUGAAAUACUUAUACAAAUAAAAAUGCGGGAGAGAUAAAAAAGAUGCAGGGUCGUUUGUCUGCUUGGCUAGUCAAGCAUGGGCUAAUUCAUAGAUCUUUGGGCUUUGAUUACCAAGGAAUAGAGACUUUACAAAUAAAGCCCGAGGAUUGGCAUUCCAUUGCUGUCAUUUUUUAUGUAUAUGGGUACAACUAUCUACGCUCUCAAUGUGCCUACGAUGUAGCGCCUGGCGGGCUGUUAGCUAGUGUGUAUCAUCUUACGAGAAUAGAGGAUGGUGUGGCUCAACCAGAAGAGCUAUGCAUAAAAGUAUUUGCCUCCAGGAGGAAUCCUAGAAUUCCGUCUGUUUUCUGGGUUUGGAAAAGCGUGGAUUUUCAAGAACGAGAAUCAUAUGAUAUGUUGGGAAUCUCUUACGAUAAUCAUCCACGCUUGAAACGUAUCUUAAUGCCUGAAAGUUGGAUAGGAUGGCCCUUACGUAAGGAUUAUAUUGCCCCCAAUUUUUAUGAAAUACAAGAUGCUCAUUGAAUGAUAAGAAAGCUAUUUCCACUUAGACAAUUUCAGAUAUUCAAGGAUUGCACGUUUUGUUAUAGAUUAAGUCUAACAACAAAAGACAAUUAGGGAUUCAUUGGAAUUCUCACAUUUAGUUGGAAGAUACUUCUUUCGGAUGGGUCACACCAAUAGGAUGAACCAAAUGAGUUCUGCAUCAUGAACUUUGUACUGCGCACAUUACUUAGACGGGUUCUAGAAAGGCAUAUAGGAAGGAAUGGAGAAAUCGAGAAUAAAGAAAUUUAAUAUGAAAGAAAAGCCAAAGAAAUGAGAUAAUAUCGGAUUCUAUUUCUUUGGAUCUGAGCUGAAUCUUGUCUAUUUCAACCCCCCUAGAUUCGGAUUCUACUUUUGAGCCUUUCCACAAUUAACUAAUUUUACCUUUCUAAUAUGUAUUACGUAUUCAAAUUCGUUUGAACAAGAGGAGAAAAAAAGAGGAGAUAGAAUCCAAUUCUUUUAGAUACUUUAUCUAAGAAACCCUACCCAUCUAUGUUCUAGAUGGGGUAUAUCUCGCUAAACUGGAUAAAGCUAUUAUUCUAAUCUAGACUAUAAAAAAUAUGUAUGUGGAUUCAUAUCAAUUAAUUAGAAAUUCAUUCUAGGGAAGAGAGACCCAUACAAAUUAAUCAUGUGCCAAGAACCAGAUUUGAACUGGUGACACGAGGAUUUUCAGUCCUCUGCUCUACCAACUGAGCUAUCCCGGCUAUUCCCAAUCUCGAUUGGAACCGCUAACAUGAGGAUUUAGAGUCCUUUCCGUAGUAUCCUCAUUUUAUCAUAUAACUGGGGUCUAUGUCAAUUAAAAGGACAAAAGUCGAUUAAAAAAUUUUAUCAAAGCCGGGGGAUUUCUUCGAUCUUCAAAAAGAUGACUUUGUAAGUUUCAGUAUGAGUAAUGAUAUUGUAUUGAUCGGGAAUCAUUCAACUAGGGAUUCCUUGCUCAAAGAUGUUCAUUUCUAUGUGUAUCAUAGAUAUCAAAUUGUGAUAAGAGAAAGCCAUUUACGCUUAGAAAAAAAAUCCAUUUCUAAAAGAAUAGAGUGAAUGAGAAA